rnacentral:rRNA from 1 species
AUGAACGCUAGCUACAGGCUUAACACAUGCAAGUCGAGGGGCAGCAUUUUAGUUUGCUUGCAAACUAAAGAUGGCGACCGGCGCACGGGUGAGUAACACGUAUCCAACCUGCCGAUAACUCGGGGAUAGCCUUUCGAAAGAAAGAUUAAUAUCCGAUAGUAUAUUAAAACCGCAUGGUUUUACUAUUAAAGAAUUUCGGUUAUCGAUGGGGAUGCGUUCCAUUAGUUUGUUGGCGGGGUAACGGCCCACCAAGACUACGAUGGAUAGGGGUUCUGAGAGGAAGGUCCCCCACAUUGGAACUGAGACACGGUCCAAACUCCUACGGGAGGCAGCAGUGAGGAAUAUUGGUCAAUGGACGAGAGUCUGAACCAGCCAAGUAGCGUGAAGGAUGACUGCCCUAUGGGUUGUAAACUUCUUUUAUAUGGGAAUAAAGUAUUCCACGUGUGGGAUUUUGUAUGUACCAUAUGAAUAAGGAUCGGCUAACUCCGUGCCAGCAGCCGCGGUAAUACGGAGGAUCCGAGCGUUAUCCGGAUUUAUUGGGUUUAAAGGGAGCGUAGGUGGAUUGUUAAGUCAGUUGUGAAAGUUUGCGGCUCAACCGUAAAAUUGCAGUUGAAACUGGCAGUCUUGAGUACAGUAGAGGUGGGCGGAAUUCGUGGUGUAGCGGUGAAAUGCUUAGAUAUCACGAAGAACUCCGAUUGCGAAGGCAGCUCACUAGACUGCAACUGACACUGAUGCUCGAAAGUGUGGGUAUCAAACAGGAUUAGAUACCCUGGUAGUCCACACGGUAAACGAUGAAUACUCGCUGUUUGCGAUAUACGGCAAGCGGCCAAGCGAAAGCAUUAAGUAUUCCACCUGGGGAGUACGCCGGCAACGGUGAAACUCAAAGGAAUUGACGGGGGCCCGCACAAGCGGUGGAGUAUGUGGUUUAAUUCGACGCAACGCGAAGAACCUUACCAGGUCUUGACAUCGAUCUAAAGGCUCCAGAGAUGGAGAGAUAGCUAUAGAGAAGACAGGUGGUGCAUGGUUGUCGUCAGCUCGUGUCGUGAGAUGUUGGGUUAAGUCCCGCAACGAGCGCAACCCUUAUCGUUAGUUACUACGCAAGAGGACUCUAGCGAGACUGCCGUUGACAAAACGGAGGAAGGUGGGGAUGACGUCAAAUCAGCACGGCCCUUACGUCCGGGGCUACACACGUGUUACAAUGGGGGGUACAGAAGGCAGCUACCUGGCGACAGGAUGCUAAUCCCAAAAACCUCUCUCAGUUCGGAUCGAAGUCUGCAACCCGACUUCGUGAAGCUGGAUUCGCUAGUAAUCGCGCAUCAGCCAUGGCGCGGUGAAUACGUUCCCGGGCCUUGUACACACCGCCCGUCAAGCCAUGAAAGCCGGGGGUACCUGAAGUACGUAACCGCAAGGAGCGUCCUAGGGUAAAACUGGUAAUUGGGGCU